rnacentral:misc_RNA from 1 species
AGAAGUAAAAGUCGUAACAAGGUCUCCGUAGGUGAACCUGCGGAGGGAUCAUUACAGAGUUCAUGCCCUACCGGGUAGAUCUCCCACCCUAUGUUAUUAUUACUUCGUUGCUUUGGCGGGCCGUUAGGCUCCGGCCCGACUACCGGCCCCGGCUGGUAAGCGCCCGCCAGAGGACCCAAAACCCUGAAUAUUAGUGUCGUCUGAGUACUAUAUAAUAGUUAAAACUUUCAACAACGGAUCUCUUGGUUCUG